CUCUAGAGAUAGAGUCUUCCCCUUCGGGGGACAAAGUGACAGGUGGUGCAUGGUUGUCGUCAGCUCGUGUCGUGAGAUGUUGGGUUAAGUCCCGCAACGAGCGCAACCCUUAAGCUUAGUUGCCAGCAUUAAGUUGGGCACUCUAAGUUGACUGCCGGUGACAAACCGGAGGAAGGUGGGGAUGACGUCAAAUCAUCAUGCCCCUUAUGAUUUGGGCUACACACGUGCUACAAUGGACAAUACAAAGGGCAGCUAAACCGUGAGGUCAUGCAAAUCCCAUAAAGUUGUUCUCAGUUCGGAUUGUAGUCUGCAACUCGACUACAUGAAGCUGGAAUCGCUAGUAAUCGUAGAUCAGCAUGCUACGGUGAAUACGUUCCCGGGUCUUGUACACACCGCCCGUCACACCACGAGAGUCUGUAACACCCGAAGCCGGUGGAGUAACCAUUUAUGGAGCUAGCCGUCGAAGGUGGGACAAAUGAUUGGGGUGAAGUCGUAACAAGGUAGCCGUAUCGGA
rnacentral:rRNA from 1 species